UAGAGAACGCUCUGGAAGCACCGUUCGAGAUAGCCAAACAAACCUUCCAUGCCGUGUCCAGGCCGACGCCUUGGUCCGUACACAGACCCAGCACGGCAUAAUUAAGUAAUGGGACCCAUUGUGCCGGACCUAGUCGUGCCGGCCGAGUCGGGUCAGAGCCAUGUUGUGCCGGGUGCCCGAAUGGCCAACUAAAGGCGAAGCGGACCGAGGGGUCAAAAUCUGCCGGGGACGUGGCCGUGGCCGCCGGGCCACCGAUGCGCAGCGGCGCCGGCGACGGCCGGCGCGGGCGGAGGGCGCGGCCGUCGUCUCGACAGGUCAGGACAACGCGGUGUAGGGCGGAGGGGCGGAGCAGGUCCGCCGGCGCCGGCGCGGUGGUCGAGCUCCUCCAAGAGCUCCAAGAGGCUCCAACGCGGGGUGAGGCGGAGCUUGGCGCAGCGGCCGGCGCAUGGCGAUGCGGAGCUGGAUGGGCCGCCGGCGCUGGACGGGAAGGCGCACCGCGGCUGCCGGCGGUGGCGCGGGGAUGGGGGCGGCGCAGGUGGAGGCGAGGAACGGGACGGGCGGCGAGGGCGCAGGGGCGGAGCGAGCCACAGGUGCAGGCGAGUGCGGAGGCCGAGGCGCGGAGUACUGGAGCAGGCCGGCGAGCCGCAGGAGCAGAGGCGGAGCAGGGCCGGAGCAGGCCAGCAAGCGCCGAAGCGGAUGCUGGGACGCCGUGUGAAAAGGAGACGCAGAAGGAAGAGGAAAAAAAUGCUGACAUGUGGACCCCACCGUUAAUUAAAAAACUGUGCUGUAGUAAGAUUGUUGGAGAGGUGAUCUAUAGUAUUUACUUCAUCAUACGUGGACUUCGUUAUAGAGAGCAACUUAGUGUUGAGGAUGCUCUAGCCCUAAUUAAUUCCUAAUUAAUUCUCUGUUUCCUCCCCGCGCCAGAAUGAAGAUUUCUAGUUCCAGUUAUCCCAGUAGGGGUUAUUCUGUCCAUCCACAGUAGUACUAUUAUGUUCUCGAGAUCUGUACCUAUAGCAAGCUACUUUGAUUUAUAUCAUAUCACGUAACUUUUACUACGUACCAAUAAAAUAGCAUGCUUCCUCUCUCACCGUUUCAAAAUCAUCUGAACCAGCUCUCCCGUCUCUGCCUCUCCCCUCCCCCACCGAUGGCGAUGGUACAGAUCCGCCUCACCGGCGGUGACUCCGACUCUGCUCAUCGGAGCAACGACGGCGAGUCCCGCCAAGGCUAGAUCCAAUGGCCUCGGGGCCAGAUCCGCCAUUGGUAGUGAGACAUCUAGGAGCUCGCCACCGCGGUCCCCAGUCCACGGCUAAUCGACUCGUCCGACGACGACGAGGGUGCGAAGUUGUGCCUCCGAUGGCUCGUCGCCGACGCAAGGGGCGCAAGACGCUUCGCGACGACCUAAGGGCGGCGGCGAGGCGUACGAGCACGCGACAGAUCUGGCGACGAGCAACACGGCCCAGUUGGUCUCCAGCGUCGUCGCACCCGCGCUGCCGUGCUGGCCUCGAGGCUCUACGUGCCGCCAGCACAGGGCACGCGCCAGCUGCUGGCCGCCGCACCCGGUCGCCCGUCGCCUACAUCAUCGGAUGGCACACCCGCACACCCGAGCAGGCAGACCUUCCGGCCGCCGCACCUGCUUGCUCGCUCGUUGUCUGCCUCAUCAGAUGGCCCGACCGCCGGUGCCGCCAACCACUUGGGUAGGAGCCGCAGUUGACGUUUUAGUUGGGAGAAGAAAUCUGGGACUUGGGGAGCGUUCGUCCGCUCGGAGCCUCGGUUGUGCCUAGAGACAUGAAUUUGUGUUGGUUGUGCUUCUCUCGGCAUGUGGGGGGAGCCGUGAGCAGCUGGAGAUUUGGGGAGUGGGGAAAACAAAGAGUAGAGUGAGAAGCCCUACUGCUUGCCUCAUGCUACUCUAUUCGUGGAGAAGAAAUUGCUGAGAGAAAGGGAGAAGACUUUCUUGGUGCUUGCAGAUUUGGGAAAUGACAAGUAGAUAGAGCUGCUUCCUGUUGUGCUUUGCUGGUGAAAAACAGAGAUCUACAGAAGCUGGGGAAUACCCCUCAAAAUUUGACUCUCUCUGCUCUGCCUCACGCCGUCCUCACUUCUUUUAUGUCCGGCGGUUCCUUAGAUUCUUGAUCUAGCAGCACCGUUGCAAACGGCGGCGCUCCCUUGCUCAUGGAGCAGGUAUACGAAGUACAAUUCCAUAUCGAAGUUCGUAUCACGUGAACAUGUACUUUUAGCAAUGUUUUGAUUAGGGUCUUGCUUCUCUAAGGUGGACACUGGCCUCAUGAUCUAUGCAUGACCAUGUACAUUUUUGUUUGGAUGGGGCUUUGCUUCUUAAAUAAAUUUGCACAUGAUCUUUUAUAUUAUUUUAAAUCUAGUUGUUGAAAU